CCUACGGGCGGCAGCAGUGGGGAAUAUUGGACAAUGGGCGAAAGCCUGAUCCAGCCAUGCCGCGUGUGUGAAGAAGGCCUUCGGGUUGUAAAGCACUUUCAGUGGGGAAGAAAGCCUUGGGGCUAAUACCCUCGAGGAAGGACAUCACCCACAGAAGAAGCACCGGCUAACUCCGUGCCAGCAGCCGCGGUAAUACGGAGGGUGCGAGCGUUAAUCGGAAUUACUGGGCGUAAAGCGCGCGUAGGCGGUCUGAUAAGCCGGUUGUGAAAGCCCCGGGCUCAACCUGGGAACGGCAUCCGGAACUGUCAGGCUAGAGUGCAGGAGAGGAAGGUAGAAUUCCCGGUGUAGCGGUGAAAUGCGUAGAGAUCGGGAGGAAUACCAGUGGCGAAGGCGGCCUUCUGGACUGACACUGACGCUGAGGUGCGAAAGCGUGGGUAGCAAACAGGAUUAGAUACCCCAGUAUC
rnacentral:rRNA from 1 species